AGAGCACAUGGUGGAUGCCUUGGCACCAGAGGCCGAUGAAGGGCGCGGCAGAGCUGCGAUAAGUCCCGGGGAGCUGCGGCGCAAGCUGUUAUCCGGGAAUUCCCGAAUGGGGCAACCCGGCCAGGGUCAUGCCUGGUCACCCAUCGCUGAAUCAAAUAGGCGGUGUGGAGGGUACGCAGGGAACUGAAACAUCUAAGUACCUGCAGGAAGAGAUAUUCCCCUAGUAGUGGCGAGCGAAAAGGGAAAAGCCUAAACCGAAGCGGCGUGAUAGACGGCAGUCGUUUCCGCUUCGGGGUCGUGGGACCCACCUGUUCCUGCUGCCGCGGGGACAAGGAGUAAAAAAACCGACGUCUAGCCGAACGGCAUUGAAUGGCCGGCGAUACAGGGUGGCAGCCCCGUAGGCGAAAGGCGAGCGGUCUCCUGGAGGGGAUCCCAAGUACCACCGAACACGUGGAAUUCGGUGGGAAUCAGCGCGGACCAUCGCGUAAGGCUAAAUACCUCUGGUGACCGAUAGUGAACGAGUACCGUGAGGGAAAGGUGAAAAGUACCCCGGAAGGGGAGUGAAAGAGUACCUGAAACCGUGUGCUUACAAACCGUGAGAGCACUAUGCCUGCUUGCAGGAAUGUGUGAUUGCGUGCCUUUUGUAGAAUGAUCCGGCGAGUUACUUCAGUGUGGCGAGGUUAAGGGGUUGACACCCGGAGCCGCAGCGAAAGCGAGUCUGAAUAGGGCGUUAUGUAGUCGCACUGAGUAGACCCGAAACCGAGUGACCUACCCAUGGUCAGGGUGAAGCGCGGGUAAGACCGCGUGGAGGCCCGAACCGACCCCGGUUGAAAACGCGGCGGAUGAACUGUGGGUAGCGGUGAAAUGCCAAUCGAACUCGGAAAUAGCUGGUUCUCCUCGAAAUGCAUUUAGGUGCAGCGUCGUCGAUUUGUUUGUCGCAGGUAGAGCACUGAAUGGGCUAGGGGCGAUCACCUCGUUACCAAACCCAACCAAACUCCGAAUGGCGGCAAAUUUUACGGCGGCAGUGAGACUGUGGGGGCUAAGCUUCAUAGUCGAAAGGGAAACAGCCCAGACCGCCGGCUAAGGUCCCAAAUCCCAGGCUAAGUGGCAAAGGAUGUCACGUUGCCCAGACAACCAGGAUGUUGGCUUAGAAGCAGCCAUCAUUUAAAGAAAGCGUAAUAGCUCACUGGUCGAGUGGUGUGGCGCCGACAAUGAUCGGGGCUCAAGUCUGGAACCGAAGCCGCGGAUGUCAUAGCUUCGGCUGUGGCGUGGUAGAGGAGCGUUCCACGGGCAGUGAAGGUCGAGCGUGAGCACGGCUGGAGCGCGUGGAAGUGCGAAUGCCGGAACAAGUAGCGAGAAACGUGUGAGAAACACGUUCGCCGUAAGCCUAAGGUUUCCUGGGCUACGUUAAUCGUCCCAGGGUCAGUCGGGCCUAAGCCGAGGCCGAAAGGCGUAGGCGAUGGACAGCUGGUCAACAUUCCAGCACCACUGGCGAGUACCGAUGGGGUGACAGGGAAGGGUAGACACAGCGGGGCGUUGGUUGUCCCCGUGCAAACAGGUAGGGGGUCUAGUAGGAAAAUCCGCUAGACACAUACCCCGAGAGGAUGCCGAGCCCGCAAGGGCGUAGUGGUUGAUCCCAAGCUCUCAAGAAAAACCUCUAAGGGUUGAUCCGCCAGUGCCCGUACCGCAAACCGACACAGGUAGGCAGGAAGAGGAUUCUAAGGCGAUCGAGAGAACCGUGGUUAAGGAACUCGGCAAAUUGUCCCCGUAACUUCGGGAGAAGGGGAGCCUCUGCAGGUGAAGGGCGUACGCCUGGAGCCAGUGGGGGCCGCAGAGAAAUGGCCCAAGCGACUGUUUACUAAAAACACAGGUCCCUGCCAAAGCGCAAGCUGAUGUAUAGGGGCUGACGCCUGCCCGGUGCUGGAAGGUUAAGAGGAAGGGUUCACGCCCUGAAUUGAAGCCCCAGUAAACGGCGGCCGUAACUAUAACGGUCCUAAGGUAGCGAAAUUCCUUGUCGGGUAAGUUCCGACCCGCACGAAUGGCGUAACGACUUGGGCGCUGUCUCGACCACGGACUCGGCGAAACUGAAGUACCUGUGAAGAUGCAGGUUACGCGCGGCAGGACGGAAAGACCCCGUGGAGCUUUACUGCAACUUGGCGUUGAUGUGGGGUCUAGCAUGUAGAGGAUAGCUGGGAGACUUUGAAGCGGGGCCGCUAGGUUCUGUGGAGUCAACCUUGGAAUACCAGCCUUGCUAGGUUUUAUGUCUAACCGGUGCCGUUAUCCGGUAUCGGGACCACGCCAGGCAGGCAGUUUGACUGGGGCGGUCGCCUCCUAAAAGGUAACGGAGGCGCCCAAAGGUUCCCUCAGCCUGGAUGGAAAUCAGGCCUUGGCGUGUAAUGGCGUAAGGGAGCUUGACUGUGAGGCCGACAAGCCGAGCAGGGACGAAAGUCGGGCAUAGUGAUCCGACGACUCUGAAUGGAAAGGUCGUCGCUCAACGGAUAAAAGCUACCCCGGGGAUAACAGGCUGAUCUUGCCCAAGAGUUCACAUCGACGGCAAGGUUUGGCACCUCGAUGUCGGCUCGUCGCAUCCUGGGGCUGGAGUAGGUCCCAAGGGUUGGGCUGUUCGCCCAUUAAAGCGGUACGCGAGCUGGGUUUAGAACGUCGUGAGACAGUUCGGAUCGUAUCCGCUGUGGGCGCAGGAGAUUUGAGGAGAGCUGACCUUAGUACGAGAGGACCGGGUUGGACGAACCGCUUGUGUACCAGUUGUUCUGCCAAGAGCAUCGCUGGGUAGCUAUGUUCGGAUGGGAUAAGCGCUGAAAGCAUCUAAGUGCGAAGCCCACUCCAAGAUAAGAUCUCCCACCGGAUAACCGGGUAAGACCCCAGAGAGACCAUCUGGUUGAUAGGCCGCGGGUGUAAGAGAGGUGACUCUUUGAGCUGAGCGGUACUAAUCGGUCGAGGGCUUGACCU
rnacentral:rRNA from 1 species